AAAACAAAUUUCGGAUUUUAACUUGCAAAGAUAUAAACUUUGUUUAUGUUAUUUCUUUUGUUUCAUCAAUUUAAAACCAAUUUAUAUGAACUUACUUCACUUCUAAUCUUGCUAAAUUGGAUAAUAAUGUUUGUUCCUAAGCUUCACUCAAUGUUUGGUAUAUCAGUUUAUAAUCUAUUUUGCUAUUAUGUUUUCAAGUUAAAGACAUUGUGAUUAUAUAAUAUGUCACAAGACAAGUAAUUUGAUAUUCAAAGUUUAUUUGGUUGAUUGCACUAAUAUUGAAAGGUUGUUGUUGUAAAUUGGAUUCGUGGGAUGAUUGGUAUAUGAUGAAUUGUAGAUAGUUCAUGGAAGAGUUAGAAAGGAUUAGCAAGUUAAUUCAUUUAUCUGAAUUAUAGUUGGAAAGAAUGUAAAUUGUUGUUAUUGUGGUUAUGAGGUGAAUCUUGGAGAAGGCUUUUGAGAAGUAUAUAAUUCAAGCUAAGAUGAAGGCUUUUGGAAUCCACAUUGGAAUUAAACUAGUUGGUGUCUAAAUUAAAAUGAUCGAUAUUAUAUAUAUGGGUGUUCAUUUAGUAAGUAUAUGGAAGUGUUAUAAAAAGAUUAAUCGAAUAGUUGAGUUUUUAGUUAAACCAUAAGGUGUAUUCACUAUUCUAAUGAUAAUUAUUGUUUAUGGUGAAUUAUGCGGAGUUUAAGAUUGAGUUGGUGACCAAAUAUCAAGAUCUUGGAGGUUUGUAAAGAAUUGGAUUUCGAGUGAGGCUCUUUCAGGUUCGAGGGAAGUUGUAUGAGCUACUAGUUAAUUGUAUACCUCUAGAAAUCAUACUGAAGGUACAUCAAGGAGAGGAAAAUGUAUGACAUGAAGAACAAUUGCAGUUGCACGAAUGACAAUUUUGGCGGUGGAUCUCGCUUAAAAGUGGAGCAUGGUUUUGGAAUUAAUUAGGCAACUAGCUAGUAAUCUUUUUUUUUUUGGGAAUAUAUUUAUGCUAGAAGUAGAUAUUUUUUGGUGCAUAUAUAUUAGGUUGGAAGUAAAUAUAUUAGGUGAUCAAACUUCUCUUGGGAUUUGAUAUAUAUACGAUAGUACUAUAUUUAGUACUUGUGUUGGAAAUUAUCGAACGAUUGGAUGACCUUGAAUAUAUUUAUGGGUCUUUUUGGAAAUCUAAAUUUUUAUCAUUA